UUUGCCUUUAAACCAAUCCCGUGAGGUUGGAAAGGAGUCGUGAAUAGCUAUACGUGCGUCCAAUUUUGGUCGCCUGUAUAGUGGCACCCUGCGGCCACCAUCCAAUCGGAUGGUGGCCGUUUUUGU
rfam:Alicyclobacillus acidoterrestris ATCC 49025 contig_16, whole genome shotgun sequence.